rnacentral:rRNA from 1 species
UGGGGAAUAUUGCGCAAUGGCCGGAAGGCUGACGCAGCGACGCCGCGUGGGGGAUGAAGCAUUUCGGUGUGUAAACCCCUGUUGCCCGGGACGAACAAGCAGAUUUUUCUGCUCUGACGGUACCGGGUGAGGAAGCACCGGCUAACUCCGUGCCAGCAGCCGCGGUAAUACGGAGGGUGCGAGCGUUGUCCGGAAUCACUGGGCGUAAAGGGCGCGUAGGCGGUCUGCUAAGCGUGCGGUGAAAGCCCGGGGCUCAACCCCGGGUCUGCCGGGCGAACUGGUGGACUAGAGCACUGUAGAGGCAGGUGGAAUUCCGGGUGUAGCGGUGGAAUGCGUAGAGAUCCGGAAGAACACCGGUGGCGAAGGCGGCCUGCUGGGCAGUAGCUGACGCUGAGGCGCGACAGCGUGGGGAGCAAACA